rnacentral:tRNA from 1 species
UGGGGUUGUGGCUCAGCGGUAGAGCACUUGCCUAACACGUGAGAGGCCCUUGGUUCGAUCCUCAGCACCACAA